UACGUAGGGUGCGAGCGUUGUCCGGAAUUAUUGGGCGUAAAGAGCUCGUAGGCGGCUUGUCGCGUCGUCCGUGAAAACCAGGGGCUCAACCCCUGGCUUGCGGUCGAUACGGGCAGGCUAGAGUUCGGUAGGGGAGACUGGAAUUCCUGGUGUAGCGGUGAAAUGCGCAGAUAUCAGGAGGAACACCGGUGGCGAAGGCGGAUCUCUGGGCCUUACCUGACGCUCAGGUGCGAAAGCUAGGGGAGCGAACAGG
rnacentral:rRNA from 1 species